AGGAUCCACUCUAAGUAGCAGACAUUAGUAUUGUUUGAUCGACGACAACUAUGAUGAGGAGCGUUGCGUUUGUGACGGUGAUGCUGCUGCUGGUGGCAACGGCAAUGGCACAUAUGAGGCAACAGGUGUAUACGGAUGAAGACGAACGGAAUCACAUGUUGGACCUCAAGGGCGUCGGUGGCCCGGAAGGCGCCGAGGCGCGCAGGCACCAAGACGUAGUUGAUGGCAAAAACGGCGGCGUGCACUCGGUGCCUCAUAAAUUUGCUCCUGGAGAAAAGCAUGAAGCUCCUCGAGACAGGACGCCCUACUAAGAGUCGUGACCGACAUCCAUAGUUUACCCUAAAACCUACACUAUGCUAUUGCUUUGUCAUGCAUCAUCAACAUAUAUAUCUUAGUUAAUCAGAAGGAAUUAUAUUCUUACUGUGUACCUACUGAUCGAAAAGAUGGCAUGCUAUUUUUAAGAUUUUCACUGGCUUGAAAUGUAGCAAUGCACCAUAGCACUAUACGAAGUUUUGAUUAUCUU